UACGUAGGGGGCAAGCGUUGUCCGGAAUCAUUGGGCGUAAAGCGCGUGUAGGCGGCUCGGUAAGUCUGCUGUGAAAGUUCAGGGCUCAACCCUGAAAUGCCGGUGGAAACUGUCGAGCUAGAGUCCGGAAGAGGCGAGUGGAAUUCCUGGUGUAGCGGUGAAAUGCGCAGAUAUCAGGAGGAACACCGAUGGCGAAGGCAGCUCGCUGGGACGGUACUGACGCUGAGACGCGAAAGCGUGGGGAGCAAACAGG
rnacentral:rRNA from 1 species